CGAGUCUCGUCUCCAGGUUCCGGCCUUGUGUUUCCUUCACCCAGCCGGGCUGCUUCUCAAAGCUUUUCAUUAUUCCCCAGAUGGCCAAAUGGAUUAAGUUCUAAAAGGUUUUAAAAAGGAAAGAAGAAGAGUUUGUUUUCUGGCCAAGACCAACAGCAAAUAAUUUUGGCCUCAAAGCUAUUCUCAGAGUGAGUUAUUAUGGAUCAAAAAGAAACUUAUAAAAGAAACUGCUUUUCCACUAUUACUAUAAAGUUAACUACUGGGAAUGCAAUUGUACUUAUAUAUGGAGAUGCAGGGCUUUUUUUUUGUUUUAGAAAUUGCCCAUAACUCUCUUGCGUGCAGUCUGGUUGAAAUUGGAUUGUGUGAGUCUAUUUGCCCACAAGCAAGGCAAGGCCCAAGGAUAGUGUGGGGACACCCCAGCGACAAGGACCAAUGGCAGGAUUCCUAAAUCACAGCCACGGCAGUUGUCUGAAUCCACUAAAAGUAUUUGCUUAACUGUUGCCCUCGGAGCUGUAAUUAAAGAGAAAAAUAUAAUAAGCAAACUAUAAUACACACAAUGCUACAUCUGCUCUGCUGUUUAACCGAUGCGUUACCAGAAUCACCUCCUUAAUUAAAGACAUAAAUCCAUCAUGUGAUCUGCAUAAACGCUGCCGUUUACAGGACUGUGAAUUUUCCUCCUCUGAGAGCCAUAGUCUGGGUGGGAUGGAAAUGAUGAAUUGGGACAACACAAUGCAGUUGUGACAAAGAAGAGAUAAGUAAGAAGAAGUGUGGAUUUUGGUAGCUGUUGGGCAACGAACAAGCGGCCUCUUUUUCUUGACAUAAUCUCCUUCCUUUCAUUUCAAAAUCUCUUUAUCAGAGUGUGAAUUCCUGGGACAUCGUGUGGGAUGUCAGCGUCCCCAUCAUAAAAUGCUGGGGGAACCUGAGUUCUGCUCCCCGAUCACUGAACAUCCCACAGGCGAUGCUUGAAGGAGCUGCUGGAGACAGGUGACUUCCAAUCCCACCACUGAAUUUAGAGAGAGGAGAACAGGAGGAUGCUAGAAAGCAAGGGGUGGCUUAGAAGGAAUUGCUCCAAAAGGAGAAAGAUCUGGACUGUUCUUGGCGGCAGCAGCUAAUCAUGAAAAGCCUCAGGGCAUGCCACUCUGCUUCUUAGAUCAUUGCCCAAGGAUUGAGACUGUCCCUCUUGAUGUCUCUUUUCUUCAAUGCAUAAUCCCUUUUCUUCACAUCACUGUCUAUGUCUUAGAAGUUCUUAUUUCCAUUGAAUGUUUCCAAUCCUGUUAGAGGUUAUCCCUUUGAGGCCCCUGAACGUGGCCCUAAAAACUGGCUCUUUAUUUCAGAGACCCACUGGACACUGGGCCAUGGCAAAUGGGACUUUUACUUUCAUUUGGGAGGAAAGUGAAUGGGAUGGACUAAGGGGCAACAAGAGGACAGGGCUGAGGACAGGCAUCUGAGGGGAGCAUUUUGGCUGGUUCUGGCAGCAGGAGCCUCAGGGGUUGGGUGCCAGUUUGGACCAAGGGACCAGACCAAAGCUUCCCUCCCUGCCGACAGAGGCUGCCACUUGCGCAGACUGACAGCCACAUUCCCCAUUCUGAGAGACUCAGAUACCACCUAGAAAAAGUCUUUAAGACACCAGGCCUCGCCUUGAGUCCUUCUUUUUCCAAUGCAAGAGAAAGGUGGGAUGAUGUGCCUCCUUUGUGAGAUGCUGUGCAACAUCUCUGCCCAACACCCAACCCCAGACCUCUUGGUAAAAGGGGCCAUACCCCAGUGGGUCUCUGAGAUGUGCGUUACUGGGCUGGACAUAGCUCAGAAUUUAAGCAGAAAGCCUACAACCUCCCCCUUCCCCUCCAAUUAUCACUUGGCAUGCAACCCUGUGACCACUCUCAAGCUGGGCCCUCUUCCUCAUGGUUUCUUGAGUCCCCAUCAGAUGUGGCCUAGGAAGGAACCUCUUUCAUGAGGAGGCAAAGUGGAACCUCCUUCCAGCUUCCCAUUUCCAUGGGAAGAGACACUAAUUACUCUAGCCCCCUUGAGCUCCCUUUCCCUCCCCAUAAGACUCCUGGCUGAGCUUGGCAACAGGGAAGGGCCCUGUAAAUAUAGCUUAGUUCUGUCCUCACCUUGUUCUUUCUGUGACCCUGCUCUUCCAUGCCUGGAAUGACCCAGGAAGAGGUGGGUGAGUUUCACCUGGUGGCAGAGAAUUAGGAAGCUUAUUUUUGCCACACACCUAAACCACACUCUCCAAUAUCUGCUUUUUCAGUUUAAAAAGUUUCAUUUUCUUUCCUUAGAGUAUAUACCCAGUCAUGAGAUUACUGGGUCAAAUGGUAUUCCUGGUUCUAAAUCUUUGAGGAAUUGCCACACUGUUUUCCACAAUGGUUGAGUUAAUUUACAUUCUCACCAACGGUACAUGCAUGUGUAUGUUCAUUGAACCAUUAUUCACAAUAGCAAAGACACAGAAUCAACCCAAAUGCCCAUCAAUGAUAGACUGGGUAAGAAAAUGUGGUAAGUAUACACCAUGAAAUACUAUGUAGCCAUAAAAAGAAAUGAGAUCAUGUCCUUCACAGGGACAUGGAUGAAGUGGGAAGCCAUUAUCCUCGGCAAACUAAUGCAGGAACAAAAAAAAAAAACAGACACUGCAUGUUCUCGUUUAUAAGUGGGAGCUGAA
rnacentral:lncRNA from 1 species